rnacentral:rRNA from 1 species
CACUCCUGCGGGAGGCAGCAGUGGGGAAUAUUGGACAAUGGGCGCAAGCCUGAUCCAGCCAUGCCGCGUGAGUGAUGAAGGCCCUAGGGUUGUAAAGCUCUUUCACCGGUGAAGAUAAUGACGGUAACCGGAGAAGAAGCCCCGGCUAACUUCGUGCCAGCAGCCGCGGUAAUACGAAGGGGGCUAGCGUUGUUCGGAUUUACUGGGCGUAAAGCGCACGUAGGCGGACUAUUAAGUCAGGGGUGAAAUCCCGGGGCUCAACCCCGGAACUGCCUUUGAUACUGGUAGUCUUGAGUUCGAGAGAGGUGAGUGGAAUUCCGAGUGUAGAGGUGAAAUUCGUAGAUAUUCGGAGGAACACCAGUGGCGAAGGCGGCUCACUGGCUCGAUACUGACGCUGAGGUGCGAAAGCGUGGGGAGCAAACAGGAUUAGAAACCCCAGUAGUCCCAUG